AUUGAACGCUGGCGGAAUGCUUUACACAUGCAAGUCGAACGGUAGAGGGGGCAACCCCUUGAGAGUGGCGAACGGGUGAGUAAUAUAUCGGAACGUGCCCAGUCGUGGGGGAUAACGUAGCGAAAGUUACGCUAAUACCGCAUACGAUCUAAGGAUGAAAGCGGGGGAUCGCAAGACCUCGCGCGAUUGGAGCGGCCGAUAUCAGAUUAGGUAGUUGGUGGGGUAAAGGCUCACCAAGCCAACGAUCUGUAGCUGGUCUGAGAGGACGACCAGCCACACUGGGAACUGAGACACGGUCCAGACUCCUACGGGAGGCAGCAGUGGGGAAUUUUGGACAAUGGGCGCAAGCCUGAUCCAGCAAUGCCGCGUGCAGGAUGAAGG
rnacentral:rRNA from 1 species